CCAGCAAUGAGAGCCUGGAAGAGGGCCAGCCUGUUGGUACUAAAGCAGUGCUGGCCCCAACGCAGCUGGCUGGGCCAGACGUUGAUGGGAAAUGGCUGACAGCAGGAUAAACAAGCAGCUCCCUUUUUGGUGAGCUUCAGAGGAAGCAGGUGGACAGAAUCAAGGCUUCAGAAGCCAUAGGAAACUAAUUCAGAUGUAGCAGUGAGCGAUGUGAUGACUGGAGUGGCAGCAGCUAUCUUGAAACCAUGAGGACACAAACCUGAGGAUAAAAUUAAAUUCAAUAUCCUGGAGAAGACAGAGUGGAAAGAUGGAAAGACCUGUUGAAUUAGCCAUGUAUCACUCAACCUUUUGACUUCUUAUCAUGUAAGAUAAUAAAUGUCUUUAUUGUUUAUG